rnacentral:rRNA from 1 species
AUUGUACGCUGGCGGCAGGCCUAACACAUGCAAGUCGAACGAGUGGCGGACGUGUGUGUAAUGUAUGGGAAACUGCUCGAUGGAGGGGGUAAACUACUGGAAACGGUAGCUAAUACCGCAUACCAUCAGAUGUGCCCAGAUGGGAUUAGCUUGUUGGUGGGGUAACGGCUCACCAAGGCGACGAUCCCUAGCUGGUCUGAGAGGAUGACCCGCCACACUGGAACGGAGACACGGUCCAGACUCCUACGGGAGGCAGCAGUGGGGAAUAUUGCACAAUGGGCGCGAGCCUCAUACAGCCAUGCCGCGUGUAUGAAGAAGGCCUUCGGGUUUUAAAGUACUUUCAGCGGGGAGGCGUUACCCGCAGAAGAAGCACCGGCUAACUCCGUGCCAGCAGCCGCGGUAAUUC